ACAUGGUAUAAGCAAUGGGAUAUCAUUUUCACAAUUAGGUUAUAAAAGAUUGAUUUCUCUCCUCAUUCUCUCUCUUUCUGGUACUUCCUCUUGCCUUCUGAUUUUCUCACUCUGGUGAAGCCAGCUGCCAUGUUGUGAGAUGCCCUAUAGAGUAGCCUAUGUGUCAAGGAACCAAAGGAGACCACUAGCUAACAGCUCAUGAGAGAUGAAGGCCUCUGUCCAACACCCUGCAAUGAACUGAAUCCAUCCAACAACCACAGAAAUAAACUUGCAAGUGGGUUCCCCAGAACAUCGAAGGCAUUGCACCAUUGCCUUCCAGCAUCCAGUGUUGUUGCUGAGAAGACUGCUGCCAAUUGGAUCUGAAAUUUUCUUUGGAAGUGUACCAGGAGGGAGGGUACAAGAAGACCGGGCAAUUAUGGAGUGGCUGAGGAAAGAAGGGACCGGAGGAGGAGAGAGAAGACUUGGGUGCAAUGCUGAGCUGAAUGGAGAAGAACCUGGUGAGUUCUUCCUUGAGGCCCAGGUUGUGAUACUAUAAUUCUCUAAUUACCUCAGAGCUAAAACUAUUUUAUUUGUCUAGAAAUGACAUGGCCAAUGCAAUAGACUUAACUUUGUAAAGUGUCAAGCCUUUGGGCAAAAGGAGAAAUAAAAAAGACAAAGCCCGCUGGUUAAAGACAGAGAGGGUCCUGUUUGUUGAUGGGCUGUGAAGUCCACUCUGAGUGCAGUUGGCUC